rnacentral:rRNA from 1 species
GACGAACGCUGGCGGCGUGCCUAAUACAUGCAAGUUGAGCGCUGAAGGUUGGUACUUGUACCAACUGGAUGAGCAGCGAACGGGUGAGUAACGCGUGGGGAAUCUGCCUUUGAGCGGGGGACAACAUUUGGAAACGAAUGCUAAUACCGCAUAAAAACUUUAAACACAAGUUUUAAGUUUGAAAGAUGCAAUUGCAUCACUCAAAGAUGAUCCCGCGUUGUAUUAGCUAGUUGGUGAGGUAAAGGCUCACCAAGGCGAUGAUACAUAGCCGACCUGAGAGGGGGAUCGGCCAAAUUGGGACUGGGACACGGCCCAAACUCCUACGGGGGGCAGCAGUAGGGAAUCUUCGGCAAUGGACGAAAGUCUGACCGAGCAACGCCGCGUGAGUGAAGAAGGUUUUCGGAUCGUAAAACUCUGUUGGUAGAGAAGAACGUUGGUGAGAGUGGAAAGCUCAUCAAGUGACGGUAACUACCCAGAAAGGGACGGCUAACUACGUG